UCAGGCCUAACACAUGCAAGUCGAACGGCAGCACGGGUGCUUGCACCUGGUGGCGAGUGGCGAACGGGUGAGUAAUAUAUCGGAACGUAUCCAAUAAUGGGGGAUAACUAAUCGAAAGGUUGGCUAAUACCGCAUACGCCCUACGGGGGAAAGCUAGGGACCUUCGGGCCUGGCGUUAAUGGAGCGGCCGAUAUCUGAUUAGCUAGUUGGUGAGGUAAGAGCUCACCAAGGCGACGAUCAGUAGCUGGUCUGAGAGGACGACCAGCCACACUGGAACUGAGACACGGUCCAGACUCCUACGGGAGGCAGCAGUGGGGAAUUUUGGACAAUGGGCGCAAGCCUGAUCCAGCCAUUCCGCGUGAGUGAAGAAGGCCUUCGGGUUGUAAAGCUCAUCGCAAGGGAAGAAAACUUACCCUCUAACAUAGGGUGAGG
rnacentral:rRNA from 1 species